AGGUCUUGCCUGCCCAGUGAUAAAUUAAACGGCCGCGGUAUUUUGACCGUGCGAAGGUAGCGCAAUCACUUGUCUUUUAAAUGAAGACCUGUAUGAAUGGCUAAACGAGGGCUUAACUGUCUCCCCUCUCCAGUCAGUGAAAUUGAUCUGCCCGUGCAGAAGCGGACAUAAGAAUACAAGACGAGAAGACCCUUUGGAGCUUAAGAUACAAGAUCAACCAUGUCAAGAAUAUAAAACAAAUUAAACUAAAUGGCACUUGAUCCCUAUCUUCGGUUGGGGCGACCACGGGAGAAAACAAAUCUCCCAUGCGGACUGGGGUUAGCACCCUAAAACCAAGAAAGACACUUCUAAGUAACAAAACAUUUGACCAUAUGAGAUCCGGCAAACGCCGAUCAACGAACCAAGUUACCCUAGGGAUAACAGCGCAAUCCCCUUUCAGAGUCCAUAUCGACAAGGGGGUUUACGACCUCGAUGUUGGAUCAGGACAUCCUAAUGGUGCAGCCGCUAUUAAGGGUUCGUUUGUUCAACGAUUAAAGUCCUACGUG
rnacentral:rRNA from 1 species